rnacentral:lncRNA from 1 species
GAAAGGUCAACCUUCGCUUGCCUGACUUAACAAUUGCUUGGUGGGGAGUGAGGGGACUCGGCUGGACCUCUUUCCGCAACUCCAUAGAGACCCAGGUGCUGCUAUCGCCUCCACCCAAGAUUAUCAUCAUACAUUUAGGUGGUAACGAUCUUGCCUCAUUAUCUUUAAUCAAAAUGAGAAGAAGUAUAAAAGGGGAAAUCGAAUACCUCCGUGAGGCUUUUCCCGACACCGUUCUGAUAUGGGUUGACAUUUUACCCAGGCGUGUUUGGAGGGGGGUCACGAACGUAAAGUCGUUGGAGACAAAGCGCAAGCGUAUCAAUAGGUUGGGUCGUAUAGCAACAUGCCGUUCUGGCAGGGGAGAUUUCAUAAGCCCUGACAUAGAUACGGAAACUAACUUUUUUAGGGAUGACGGUGUACACUUAAAUGAUGUGGGGUUGGAGUUUUAUCUAGAUUAUUUGAAGACUGCAAUACAGGAAAACUCUGCUCAAUAAUAAUUUUUUGGGGGAUAAAUUAAAAUUUAUUGUGGCGGAAAAAAUUGUUUAUUGACCGGAAGGUGACCGGGCGCUGUGGUUUAAGCUAAGAAAAUUGAACCAUAUACUUCAUAAUUUUACCUUCGAAACUUCCGGUUACGGGUGUAUCAACUCUCGUCGAUGGCAUUAUUUGCGCUACAGAUGAGACUUGUGCGUCUGUGACUUAAUUGAGUUGACAGUUUCGGGUCCGUAGACUGUUUAAUUACUUUUGUUUUGGGUUAUCUCAGGUCACAAGCUUAGUAACGUGGUAAAAUAAUUGUUAUGGCUCGAAUGUUGCUUCGGGUCAUUAUACUGUGUUGACUCGAAUGUCGCUUCGGGUCCUUAUGCUAGCUUUGACUGUAGACUCAAAUGUCGCUUUGGGUCUUUUGUUAUUGUUGUUGUUGACUCGAAUGUCGCUUCGGGUCUAUAGGUCUGGCCCUUUGUGUAUUGGUAAGACCUGGUUAAUGUGGUUACCGUUUUAGAUGUAUUUAGCCAAUGGCAUUCCCUAACGCCGAAUGUGUGGUUGUGCAUUUUUAGUUUCCUAAGCUGGUACCUGUUGAGGGUACAUUACAUUGGGGAACUGGGGGUUUACGAUUACACAGUCGGUAGGACUCUUAUGGCUAAAGGUUUUGUGUAUGGAUACAGUUAAUAUCUCAGUGACCUGAGUGUAAAUAUGCAAGUGCGUUUUAUUCAUUAAAAUUGGUUGCCUUUUAUAUGACACGCCCGGUCUCCUUUCGGUUAACUUCCUUAUUGCGUUUGAUAUUAGUUUUCAAUAGUUUGGUAGCGAGCUUUAACGCCUAACAUACCGAACUCAGAGCGGCCAUUUUACCCAACUCAUAUUAAUAAAUGUUUGAGCAUUCAUUUUAAUGUAAACUGUAUUAGAUGAUUGAUUAAAUGUUUGAUUAUUCGCCGCUCAGGCGCUUAAUAAAUAGAGUGAAGACUG